rnacentral:rRNA from 1 species
UACGUAGGGUGCGAGCGUUAAUCGGAAUUACUGGGCGUAAAGCGUGCGCAGGCGGUUAUUCAAGACAGAUGUGAAAUCCCCGGGCUCAACCUGGGAACUGCAUUUGUGACUGCAUGGCUGGAGUGCGGCAGAGGGGGAUGGAAUUCCGCGUGUAGCAGUGAAAUGCGUGGAUAUGCGGAGGAACACCGAUGGCGAAGGCAAUCCCCUGGGCCUGCACUGACGCUCAUGCACGAAAGCGUGGGGAGCAAACAGG